rnacentral:rRNA from 1 species
UACGUAGGGGGCGAGCGUUGUCCGGAAUUACUGGGCGUAAAGGGCGCGUAGGCGGUUCGCUAAGUCCGUUGUGAAAGACCGAGGCUCAACCUCGGGGUGUCAACGGAGACUGGUGGACUCGAGUGUCGGAGAGGAGCGGGGAAUCCCUGGUGUAGCGGUGGAAUGCGUAGAGAUCAGGGGGAACACCGAUGGCGAAGGCACCGCUCUGGCCGAACACUGACGCUGAGGCGCGAAAGCUGGGGGAGCGAACGGG